GACGUCAGCGCACCCUUAUCCAAUUAUUAUAAAUAACUUGAAUACAUAUCAUGUUCUAAAUGCUUUGGAGAAGAACUUAGCAUCGGGUGUUUGUGGGAAUACGAAAUGCCUCCAGGAGAGCCAUUCUUUUCUCUCAGCAAAAUUUAAAUCUUUAAGAGACUGGAACUUUCAGUCGGACCUGUCAAUCCCAUGGAGUCAUUGAAGAUUUUUAAAAUAGUCAAGAGCCAUGGUAUGGAAGGUAGAAGAAACAAAAAUCUCUGGAAGUCGACGGCUGAAGGACGACAAUUUUUCCCAUAUCGACUAAAAGCGUCCCAUUUGACGACUGUCUGUGAGUCUAUAGCAUCCAAAGUACUGAUCCUAGUAACCUACUAUGGAAGACAUAUCGGAAUGAAAUGAGCGCGGAGAAACCAUUCCGUACAUCUCGUACAUCUGUAUUUCCCUCCAGGGCACCUCAAUCUGUCCUCCUGCAUUCAGCAGGAAGAAGCAUUAAACAAGACAUUUGAUCAGCCUCUGUACCAUAACCAGGAAAGGACCCCUCAAUCAACACUUUGUUCUCUAAACGGUUGCACCAUCACAGGGAGCACGCACAUCGGCAUUUUUUCGACAAUGAACGACUAAGUUAAAGCCCUGAAGAGCAACCCACUGUUGCAGGAUGCUGCCCAAAACCCUGAUACAUCUCAGGAUGAGUUGGUCAGUGCAGGGGAGAAGUUCUUGAUUCCAGUUUAGCCUGGUAGGGGCACAGUCUCCUAGGAAUAUCACUAGGUACAAGCGUGGCGUGGGAACGAAAAAGAUCCCCUAGAUUUGGGGGUGGAAAACAACGCGGGAUGGCAUUGUACCAAUAACCACCUCAAAGGAACCCGUCCCACCGAGGUGCUUCACUUCAUCUCUUGCAAUUAUUUAGGAGUCUUUAGAGAAACACUGAAUAAAGUCCGAAAAUUUCGGAGUUUAUGGGGCACCAAAAGUUAUGCUCAAUCCAAGGAGGGCUACACACUUACUCGUCUUGAAGAGUACCCUAAUGGGUUUUAGAACGAUUUGUAACUCCCCCCCCCCCCCUCUCAGGUCCAAUAGCUGUAAGGAAAGACAACAAACCAUUGUACUGUAUUUUUGUCACACCUGCUCAUUGCAUUUUUGUUUAUUUUAGAAGUUCUGUUUGUAUCUAAAGUCAAAGUAUAAUACAUUAGCCAGCCAAGCCCAUGGUUAAUCAAUGGUUAAAAAUGGUAAACACCUAAUAGUUGAAUCUAGUAGUGUUAAUCAGUGAUUAACCUCAAUCAUGGUUUGUGAAAUUGGGCAUUAGUGUCGUUAAGAGUCUCCAAGACCUCGAAUUGCGACACUUUUUGAAUAUCGGUAAGAUAAAUCAGGAGAUACAUCCCAAAUAGGUAUCUACAACAGGAAAUUCGAUCACGUUAUCUUUAUCUUGUUUAUGAUGUAUUGCAAAUGAAUUAUCUUCUUUUCUUUCUUGCCUUUUCCAUACCAAGCUCGAAAUGUGCGGAAGACCGGAUUAUAAUGGCAUUAUUUAUCGGUCGUAUUUUUCUCCAAUUCUGUGGACCAUGGACCUGUAAUGCAUAUAGUGCUUUUUUCAAGAACGAUUUGGAAUUGCGACUGUAUUUUGCCAACUUGUUUUUAAGUACCGAUAACAGACAGGGAAUGCAUGCAAACAAAGCAAUUUUCCGGAUAAAACCUAAUCUAAUCUUCCUACUCACCAACAGCUAUAAAAAGGCAUGACCUGCGUCCUAAUAGGUGUAUAUUUUCUUCGUCGAUAUACAAUCAACGUGAUGUAUUUUAAACUUUUGUUAGUGACCGUUACACUAUUCUUGUGGAGUUUUUCUUUCUCGGAGGCUCUAAUCUGUAUAAGCUGCGACGGCGGUUCAGUUGGUUGUCGAAGUGGAAAGGUAAACAAUUUGACUAUGACGUGUCCGAAGAGUGCAUCGUUAGACAUGUUCUGCGUCUCGUACGAAACGGGAGGCCGUAACAUUCAUAGAGGGUGUUCUGGUAAACAGAAGUCAAGUUCAGGAAAACUGUGCGACCAAGUACAAAAACAGAAUUCAACAUUCACAAAUUGCAAGGAAUGUUCAACUGAUCAGUGCAAUACAUUCAAUUACGACAAAUGAUAGAAACUCCUUAUUGUGAUAUUGGAACCACUCUAUAUAAUGUACUUUAGGCUAAUAUCAGCUAAAUAAAACU